GAUGAACGCUGGCGGCGUGCCUAAUACAUGCAAGUCGAGCGAACGGACGAGAAGCUUGCUUCUCUGAUGUUAGCGGCGGACGGGUGAGUAACACGUGGAUAACCUACCUAUAAGACUGGGAUAACUUCGGGAAACCGGAGCUAAUACCGGAUAAUAUUUUGAACCGCAUGGUUCAAAAGUGAAAGACGGUCCUGCUGUCACUUAUAGAUGGAUCCGCGCUGCAUUAGCUAGUUGGUAAGGUAACGGCUUACCAAGGCAACGAUGCAUAGCCGACCUGAGAGGGUGAUCGGCCACACUGGAACUGAGACACGGUCCAGACUCCUACGGGAGGCAGCAGUAGGGAAUCUUCCGCAAUGGGCGAAAGCCUGACGGAGCAACGCCGCGUGAGUGAUGAAGGUCUUCGGAUCGUAAAACUCUGUUAUUAGGGAAGAACAUAUGUGUAAGUACCUGUGCACAUCUUGACGGUACCUAAUCAGAAAGCCACGGCUAACUACGUG
rnacentral:rRNA from 1 species